AGACUGUAUAUAAAAUAACGUAAUGUUUUACAGUCUAUGGAAACAGCUGGAAUUUUUCCAGAGAACAAUUUGUUGAGAAAUUUACGGUAAUUGGACUGCACUUGCGCAGAUGUGUUUCCACCGCCACGUUCAGAGUGAAGAUGUCCGCUGUAAGACGAGGGCUCUGCGUGCUUCCCAUGUCCUCCCAUGUCGUCCACGCCCCCCCUCUGGGGCCCCGGGGCCCCGGCGGGACUCAGCAACGGCUCCUGGUCUUUGCUGAAACCUAGAAUGACAUCAAUGCUGUGGACGUGGCCCCCCGCCGCCGCCACGCCGCCCUUCCCUAUCUCGUGGAAGUUGGCAGGUGAGAGGCAGCUGUCGUCCACCAGGCUCAUGGUAUCCAGGGAUAAAUGCAUUCGAGCGUCUGGGCUUUGACCCGCGGCCGUGGACAGGCAGAGGAGGCGCUGAUGAGAGACCACAGGAGGUCACAGAUCACCACUUGGUAAUCAAACGUCCCGUCCUUCAGCACAUACGCCCAGAGGUCAAGUGUAAUAAAGAAACUUUCAUCGGUUGAUAUUUGAUGUUUGAGAAUGCGUCAUAAAGUGCAGAAAAGAUGAUUAAACUGUUGAACCAGUCCAGAAUAACUCAUUAUAAACAUCCUGACAAACUCUAAACUACACAAACUCUUGACAAAAUUAAAAUAUUAGAUUAAAAUGUUAAUAUCAGAACUGAAAAAAGGUUAAAUAUCUGCAAAAAAUCCUCAAAUUGAAUGGAAAUUUUGGUCCGGAUGGGUCAAUUGAAUGCAAUUGCACAGUUCGUUUAGGGAAAAUGUGGUCCAAUCUUGUUAAAAAUUCACAAUUAGGAGCUUAUUCUACACUUUUUGUUAAAUAAAAUGUUUGCAGUGCUCACCUUUUGAUGCAAAUAUGUCAAAGUUUCCACAACUUGCCGUCCAGUUUGAUGAAUCACGUCCCCCAACUUUAUUUUCCCCAGACUUUCUAUCCUGCAGCAGCUGCUUCACAUCCCUCUCUGCAGCAAUUACAUUCAAACUUUCCAAAAAAAAA